CAGCAGCCACGGUAAUACGAGGGGGGCAAGCGUUGUUCGGAAUUAUUGGGCGUAAAGGGUGCGUAGGCGGCUUGACAAGUCUUGUGUGAAAUCUAUGGGCUCAACCCAUAGUCUGCACGGGAAACUGUCGGGCUUGAGAAUGGGAGAGGUGAGUGGAAUUUCCGGUGUAGCGGUGAAAUGCGUAGAUAUCGGAAGGAACACCUGUGGCGAAAGCGGCUCACUGGACCAUUUCUGACGCUGAUGCACGAAAGCUAGGGGAGCAAACAGGAUUAGAUACCCCCGUAGUCCCUGUCUCUUAUAC
rnacentral:rRNA from 1 species